AGGGAGCCUGAGAAACGGCUACCACAUCCAAGGAAGGCAGCAGGCACGCAAAUUACCCACUCCCGGCACGGGGAGGUAGUGACAAAAAAUAACGAUACGGGACUCAUCCGAGGCCCCGUAAUCGGAAUGAGAACACCCUAAAUCCUUUAACGAGGAUCUAUUGGAGGGCAAGUCUGGUGCCAGCAGCCGCGGUAAUUCCAGCUCCAAUAGCGUAUAUUAAAGUUGUUGCGGUUAAAAAGCUCGUAGUUGGUUCUGCGUGCCACGCUGUCGGUUCACCGCCUGCCGGUGCAACUGGCAUGCCGUGGCAUGUCCUGUCGGUGGCGGAUAGGCUUCGCGGCGUGCCCUAUGCGGUAUACCAGCGUGUAGGUUGCUGCGCCGCGUUGUCCUUGUACGCCGGCUCAAUCCUACCGCGGU
rnacentral:rRNA from 1 species